AAAGUCGGUGGGAGCCCCAGGAAGCCUAGGUGAAGUUAUACUGGAUGCUACUGGAAGGGUGAGCACAGCUAGGAGAGACUGAGCCUGAGUUUGGGGGUGGGGGUGAGGAGACGACCCAGCUCCUGGGGAGACAGUCCCCAGGUUCUGCAGGGCUGUGUGAUACCCUGCCUUCUGGGGCUGCACUCCAUGGCACUUCCUACUUGGGUUUUAUGGCAAGGUUCCUUAGCCCCUGAGCGGGGCACAUCUGAGCCUAUAAAACAGGCAGCUUGUCUCUCAUGGGAUCUCUGGGAGGAAAAAAGUACUGAUAAAGCAUUUCCGAUUCUAAGAAGGAUGCCAGACAUACAGCAAGUGCUGGGGGGGACGGUGGGGAAACUGAGCAAUCACGUAGGACUACGUGGAAACACAGAUGGCCCUAACCUCUCUCCACCCCACUUCCGCACUCAGCCCACGCUUCUGGUCCCACCAAACUGCCCACCUCUCUGCAAGUGCCCCCUGCCCCUUGUGGUCUCUGCUUUCAGUUCGUCUCGGUUCUCUGGAUCUGAAAUGCCCUGGCCCUUGCUUCUUGUCACCCUCCAGCCUCCUCUCCUCCAUUUAAGGAUCUCCUCCCCGCCCCCUCCCUCCCGACAGCCUUGGGGGCGGACUGCCAGCUCCUGGCUGGGCCCUCAGCUGCACACACACCUGUGCUGUGGAAGAAAGUUCUCUGGCUCCACAGAGGGCCAGGCGAGAACGCCCAGUCCCAGCCCUAGAAGCGGGGAACGUCUCAAUGGCCAGGAAAGGAAGCCGAAGACCGCCCUGGUUCUUCCAAUUCCUGGACCCUGAUACCCUUUCAGCCAUCCCCAAAGGGACUGCAGGGUUUGGCAGCUGGCAGCAGCUGUCCAGGGCCAGGAGUCCUUCCAACCGUCACUGACAUUGACCAUCCUGUCAAGGAGUGCCACAGUCACUGCGUGAUGGACUGCUCUCGUCCCUCCACAUCCAUCCCUGCCUUUGCGAUAAAACCCUGCUUUUGGGGUGGAAAUGAAGUGGCUGCACAAUCCCACAGCCCUCCUUGGCAGCCGCGUGCGGCCAUGUGUGGAUUUCAGGAAGCCCGGAAAGGGGACAAGCGUGUUCCUCUUCCCGACCUUUCCUGCUUCCCCUGGGCUGGAAGGCGGACAAGUGAUUGGCUGCCAUCUCUGACCACGAGACGGAGGCCACGUUGUGAGGACGGAAGAGCAACGGCUGACCACCAAGGACCAGCCCCGGAUUGCCUAUAUCAAGGUGAGAGAGAAACUUCUGUCCUGUUUGUCCCCCAUCAUUUUUGCGUAGGCAAACCUAAUCCUGAUCCACAGAACUAUAAUUCCUCCUGCCCCCUCUCCCUGCCUUUCCCCCCUUCUCUCCACCAACACUGAUGCAGCAUCCAGCACUUGGGGAGCAGAGGAGGAAUAGAGAAGCCGCUGGAGGCGAUUUAGAAAGGGUAGGGGUGCCAAGAAACAAGGCAAUGGACGUGGUACAGACAGAGCCUGGGGAGGAUUUGUCGGGGAGGGGGGAGGUAAGAAGAACCUUCCAGAAGAGCAGGGGCAACAGGAACUUCUCACACACUCACCCCUACCCCAGUUCUCCCCUGGAGGGCCCAGUGCACUCCCUCCCCCUCCGCUCUGGCCCGUGAAGGCCCAGUGCCCCUUCCUGAUGAGGCCGUAGGUGGGGGUGGGUGCCAGCCUGGGUGGUGGGGUGUCUAGGGAGGGUCUGAGGCCAGAGACGGGGAGGGAGGGUCUCCCCAGACCUAUGCAUUUUUCCCAAAUCAAGACAACAGGUCUAGAGUGGACCACGGGGAUCCGGCCUCAUUUGCGAACCCCUGUGCUACCCAUGUGGCUUGCUUCUUAGAAGUGGGCUUCCACUGGAUGCCUGUGGAACUCAGUCCUGGGCAGACUACACGUACACAGGCCAAGUGCUAAGGACAUCAAAGAAAGUCCUACACACCGGCCUGAUGGGCUGACCCAGGGCAGCAACUGCUGGUAUCUGCUCAGCAGCUGGUUACCUGAGGGAAAAAACACCCUGUUCCACAGUCUUUGCAGACUUCUGUGGUCUGAAUCCUCCACUGCGCAUAUGAAGACAGCUACGUCACAGAUCAGGAACUGGAAGGAGGUCCAGGCACAGUCCAUCCCAUCUCCCUAUAAUACAGAUGAGGAAACUGAGGCCCAGGAAAGGAACAUGACUAGGGCACCCCACACGGUGAGUUGGUGGUCUGGACUCUGGCCAGUGUGCACGUCCCACCCUGCCCACCUGCCCCCUGUCCGUGUGUUGGCCCCAGAAACAAGCUUGAGAGGUAGAUGUAGGAUAUGUGGGGUCUGCCUUGGCUGCCUGUCGGAGCUCUAGUUCUUCUGCUGCGGGGACAUCUGUUGGCUUCCAGAAAACAGCUCGGCUGACAAUCAGACCAAGAAGUCCCUGGAGGAACAAAGACCAUGUUCAGAAGGGCACACAGACAAGGCCACUCCGGGCCAGCGGCUCCAGCCGACUUUAAUCCUCCCCCCUCCUAGGUAUUGAUGAAGAUCCCUGUUACUGAAUCCCCUCCAACUUCUAGACAGCACCCAACCCCAGACCGCCUCUGCUUUCCCGACCUCUUCUCGAAUCGCUCCAUACCAACCUGAACCCUCUAAGAGGCCUCUCUUGGGACCUUCCUUUUGAGAUUCUCUGGAGAUCCUGUAGGGCAUGUACUUUGCUGCACAAGCUAAAUAAACCUAACUUUUUUGGACUA